UAGGGAAUCUUCGGCAAUGGACGAAAGUCUGACCGAGCAACGCCGCGUGAGUGAAGAAGGUUUUCGGAUCGUAAAACUCUGUUGUUAGAGAAGAACAAGGACGUUAGUAACUGAACGUCCCCUGACGGUAUCUAACCAGAAAGCCACGGCUAACUACGUGCCAGCAGCCGCGGUAAUACGCAGGUGGCAAGCGUUGUCCGGAUUUAUUGGGCGUAAAGCGAGCGCAGGCGGUUUCUUAAGUCUGAUGUGAAAGCCCCCGGCUCAACCGGGGAGGGUCAUUGGAAACUGGGAGACUUGAGUGCAGAAGAGGGGAGUGGAAUUCCAUGUGUAGCGGUGAAAUGCGUAGAUAUAUGGAGGAACACCAGUGGCGAAGGCGGCUCUCUGGUCUGUAACUGACGCUGAGGCUCGAAAGCGUGGGGAGCAAACAGG
rnacentral:rRNA from 1 species